rnacentral:rRNA from 1 species
UACAGAGGUCUCAAGCGUUGUUCGGAUUCAUUGGGCGUAAAGGGUGCGUAGGCGGCGCGGUAAGUCGGGUGUGAAAUCUCGGAGCUUAACUCCGAAACUGCAUUCGAUACUGGCGUGCUUGAGGACUGGAGAGGAGACUGGGAAUUCAUGGUGUAGCAGUGAAAUGCGUAGAGAUCAUGAGGAAGACCAGUGGCGAAGGCGGGUCUCUGGACAGUUCCUGACACUGAGACACGAAGGCCAGGGGAGCAAACGGG